AUCACCUGGGGUCCUUGUUAAAAUGCAGAUGCUGAUUCAGUAGGUCUGGGGUAGGGCCUGAGAUUCUGUACUUCUAACAAGUUCCCUGGUGAGGCUAC
rnacentral:pre_miRNA from 1 species